GGAGCUAUAUUUUAAGUAGAAAGAAUGCUUUGCAAGCAUUAAGUAAGGUAAUAUUUUUGGCGCCA
rnacentral:tRNA from 1 species